rnacentral:rRNA from 1 species
CCUACGGGAGGCAGCAGUGGGGAAUAUUGCACAAUGGGGGAAACCCUGAUGCAGCGACGCCGCGUGAGUGAAGAAGUAUUUCGGUAUGUACAGCUCUAUCAGCAGGAACGAGACAAGACGGUACCUGACUAAGAAGCCCCGGCUAACUACGUGCCAGCAGCCGCGGUAAUACGUAGGGGGCAAGCGUUAUCCGGAAUCACUGGGUGUAAAGGGAGCGUAGACGGCUGAGCAAGCCUGAAGUGAAAGGCGGGGGCCCAACCCCCGGACUGCUUUGGGAACUGUACGGCUGGAGUGCAGGAGAGGUAAGUGGAAUUCCUAGUGUAGCGGUGAAAUGCGUAGAUAUUAGGAGGAACACCAGUGGCGAAGGCGGCUUACGGGACUGUAACUGACGUUGAGGCUCGAAAGCGUGGGGAGCAAACAGGAUUAGAUACCCGUGUAGUC